GAUUUCUGGCUUGGUGCGCGCCGUCCGCUGCGGUUACGUAGUGUGUGCGGUUGUGCGCCUGCCAUCUUUCUAGACAUCAUGCUGCGCCCUUCACUGGGUGGCAGGUGGUGGCUGGAUCUUUUACUUUGAAAAAAUUAGAGUGUUCAAAGCAGGCUUGCGCUAUGAAUACAUUAGCAUGGAAUAAUAAUUUAGGACUUCUGUUCUAUUUUGUUGGUUUCUAGGAUGGAAGUAAUGAUUGAUAGGGAUAGUUGGGGGUGCUAGUAUUCAGCGGCCAGAGGUGAAAUUCUUGGAUUCGCUGAAGACUAACUUAUGCGAAAGCAUU
rnacentral:rRNA from 1 species